rnacentral:rRNA from 1 species
GAAUCGCUAGUAAUCGUGGAUCAGCAUGCCACGGUGAAUACGUUCCCGGGCCUUGUACACACCGCCCGUCACACCAUGAGAGUUUGUAACACCCAAAGCCGGUGAGGUAACCUUCGGGGACCAGCCGUCUAAGGUGGGACAGAUGAUUAGGGUGAAGUCGUAACAAGGUAGCCGUAGGAGAACCUGCGGCUGGAUCACCUCCUUUC